UAUAUAUAUAUACACACUAUAUAUACUUAUAUAUAUAUAUACACAUAUACUCUCUCCCUCCCUCCCUCUCUCUCUCUCUUUCAGACAUAUACACACAUAGAAUUACGAAUGCGUAUACGUGUGGACAUAGAUACGUAAGAACAUACAAGCACACCCAUGAAUAUCAUUUACACAAACCUACGAAAACAUUUUACACAGAAAACUGUCUGAAAGUACUUUGUUAUGAUUUGAAAGUCAACAAUAAAAAUAAAUAAAUGAAUAACUGCUUGGAGAAAGAAAGACACAAAUACUUUGUGUUGUUGUUUUAAGGACGACGAAAUAAUAGAAAACGAAAGAAAAAGCAGAAGAGAGAAGCAGAAGCGAAGUGUGGUGAUGGCGGGGAAAGGAAAAAGAAACUAGAAAGAAAGAAUCGAGAAAAAAGUAACAGAAAGACAGACAGAAAGGAUCUCACGACAGAAAGUAAUGAUUAUAAGAAAGGAUAUAAAAAUGAAUAUAAGUAAUAGAAACAGAGAAAAAGAAAACAGAAAUAAACAUAUAAAUGAAUAAAACAGAGCAAUGAUGGGAAGAAGGAAUGAAUUAAAAAGUGAAGGAAUAAAAUAAGAAAAGAAAGAACUUAGAAAAUGCACAUUCGUUAGCUUAGUUGAUACUAUGGAUGCGCAGAAGUGAUUUAAUAUUAUCAAUCUUCUUGCUUUUACUAACGAAUGAUUGGUUAGUGCAGUUGAUAUUACGGAUGCACAGAAGUGAAAACAUUAUUACUUGUCUUUAAUUUAAUUUUUUUUCCUCAAUAUCUUGGAUUUUUAUUUGUUUCUGUGAAAAUAUUUUUUAAAAGUGGGUGCUUAACAGGUGGGUGUUUACUGUUUCAUACCCAACUUGAAUAAGGUUGUUCUUUUGGAUAUGAGUUUUGUAAUUGUUUUGGUUUUGGAAAAAUUGCAAUUCUUGUUAUUGAAAAAAGAAAAAAGAAAAAAAAUCACCAAAUCAAAAUUUAAUGUCAACUAAAUUGGAUGACUUGAAAAUAAUUACCCACCAAAAUAUAGAAAGAAAAAGUGUAAGGGACCGUUACAAUGCAGAAAACCCAAAGACACCAGCCUAAUCUAGUGCUGUACCUCUUCCACCAGGAUCAAGAUUGCUGAUAAAAAGUAAUCCCCCAAAACAAAUUUUUAAUGGAUUUUCAAACAACCACAUCUUGUUUAUUUAAUUAAGAAUAAUUUUCUUACAAAAAUUAAACGGUCAUUAUUGUUACAUUUUGUAAUAACAAUUAUUAAAAAAAGUCUAUAAAGAAUUAUUAAAUACAGUUAAGAGAAAAUUUUUUAAGAACCUGAACCCCAGAGAUAUACAUACCAACAUACUCCCUUACUAAACAAACUAGAGCAACAAAAAAGCAACCCAAAGAAAAACAAUCGAUACUAAUCGUAAAAUAACACCAAAACUAACAAUGGUUACAAUAACAACCGGAAUAAUAUUUAAAAAAGAAAAGAGGAAGAAAAUAUAACUACACACACACAUUAUAUAUAUAUGUUUGGUGAUACAUAAAUAGGUUUACGUUAUAUACACACACACAUUAAGGUUUAGUCACACACACACAUAGACUUGGUGGUACAUAUAAGUAUAAAUAGGUUUAGUGAUAUACAAACACACACAAGAAUGUGAAACACCUAUAUAAGUAUAUAUAUAAACUAUUAGCAAACGUUUCACUGCCGCCCCCCUUUUCCUCUCCUUCUUUUUGAAUAUCUUUAUUUUCUUUCUUUCUUUCUUUCUUUCUUUUUCCCCUUUAAAUACCAUUUUUGAAGUGAUAGGUGAGCUUCUUCCUAAUGAGCAGAGAAAAAACUCUGAUGGAACCCGGUUCUCGUUCGAAAACUGUAGUGGCUGUUUAAUUAAUGCUCUUGAGAAAAGCAUACAGUUCACGACAUCCCAUCUUUAUUUAUUUGAGAAAACAUAAAUAAAAAAAAAACAAAAACAAAUUUGGCUGUGUAUAUCUAGUGAAACGAAAUAAGUGGCAUCUGGAAGGAAAAUAAGUUAAAACAUUUACAGUAAGCGGGGAGGUGACCGUAAGUUGUGUAAGAAAUUAGGUGAAUUUAGUAAAUUAGUGUCUCAAGCAAGCCACGUGUCGGUGGCGUGGACUUUUCCCUAAGUUGUUAACUACACUUUUUAUUGUGAUUUUUUAUACUGCAUUACCUCUUCUGGUGAUAUUCCCUUAGUUAAAAAAAAAACGUAUACAAGUUACGUAAUCUCAAAUUCUUCUCUUCCCUUACUCUCCCUUAAAAAUAUAUAGCGCCCGUAUCUAGUUAGCCGAAAUCUGAUCUGAACUACUGCGUAGAGGUGUGGGGGGAGAUGCCCCUCUCUAUGUCUCUCCUCCCGUCUCUCUCUCUCUCUCUUACUCUCUCUCGUUUCACCGUUCAGUAAGAGAGGCGUAUAUGUAAUUGAGCUAUCGGUAAACCGAGUCGCUGAUGUGAUGCGAUGCGACUCGUAAACAUGAUUUCUUCAUUUCGGUUUCCCCUCACGUUACGCCGCCCUGCUAAUUGAGCAAUCACCUCUUGCUGGGAAAGCAUGAACGUGCCAGCAUCCAAAUCAUUUUUUUCCUUUCUGCUUAUCAAACAAGGAUGAGGCUUUUUAAGCUUUGUUAACAUUUAAAAAAACAAACAAAAACAGUCAUAACGGACAUUAAGGAAACGCGUAUGAAUUUCUUUUCCAUUAAUUAUCAAACAGUUUAAAAAAAAAAAAGAAGCUUUAUAGACACAUACAUACGCACAAAUAAUUACAGCUCGACAGGCACAUAUUAAACCAUUCAAAAAAAAAAAAUCAUGACUUCGUUUAAACAUUAUUUAGUGUUAAAAUUUUCGUCACACCUACUACAACCUGGUCACUGACGCGAUUCCACUACAUUGCGGUUUUCAGAUCAUAUCACUUUGCCUGACAAAUACACUUCCGACACACACAUACACAGAACAGAAAUUAGGCAACUUAAUAGAAUCGGUGAUAGUAAACAAAAAAAAAAAAAAAAAAGCACACAUACAUCACCACCAACAACAA
rnacentral:lncRNA from 1 species